UGACCCAUCUUCCAGCACAGUAGGUGGCGGUAAUGCACCAUUAACGCUGGAGGCCAAACGUCGAUUAAUCCCACCGAAGAAGAACUGCUCAUUGUCGCGCAUGCGUUCCUCGAUGUAUGCCAAGGCACAAAAGUGGCGCUAUAUCGUUUCAACCUCUACUCAGGUGCUGGACAAGCCCCUGGUAACCUCGCAGGAAGUGUUCCAGUGCACGCAGUAGGUGUCCUACCCAUCGGGUCCCGCCAAUUCUGGUGGGCACCAGUGGUGUGUGCCCAAGAGCCUGGAAGCUGGUUACCAGUUUUGCCCGGUUCAGUGGACUGGUGUGGUGGUAGCAGCCUAAAUGAUGGAUGGGGAACACCAGGAAGAGAAGCCUUCACAUGAGAAAGAAAAUGCUCUACACAAUGAAGAGAAGACUUCAUGUGAUGUGGAGAAGACUUUAUGUGACAUGGAGAGAGCUUUGUGUGACAUAAAGAAGAGUGCUGAAGAGAGCAUUUCAAGUAAUGAGGAGAACAGUUCAGAUGAUGAGGUUGGACAAAGACUGGAUUCAAAAGUCCCAAGUGGCUCAGAGCCUCUUCCAUCUAAUGCAGAACACCCCUGCGAUAAUGAAUCUGAGCUGUUGCCACAAAAAACCUCCCAAGCUAAAAAACCUCAACGCAAAAAAUUCGCGCCACGGAAAGGUACAAGGUCAAGCUUACGUUCUAGCACAAAAAUGACAGUCAGCGCAUGUAGUAUGACAGAUGAUGGUAAAAGAAAAUGGGACAAAAAACACUUCUGCCUGUAUUGCAAUGAACCACACCACAAAAUUGCAAGACAUUUAGAAAGGAUACACGCCGAAGAAGCAGCUGUCGCUCAUGCUAUGAGCUUCCCUAAACUCUCCAAAAUCAGGUCUCUUUUGCUUGACCAACUCCGUAACAAAGGCAACUAUCAAGUUCUUCAAAGUGGAGAUGGUGAAAUUGUGACUAAGGAUAGACCCUCUUACAAUGGUGUUUCUGUGCGUGACUGCCUGCCCUGCCAACACUGCUUAGCUUUUUUCAACAAAAUAGAUUUAUGGAAGCAUGAGGGCUCAUGUAAAGCCAGAAAAGGACAAGAUGAAAAGAGGGGAGGAAAAAGAGUGCGGGUCCAAGCUGCAUCCUCUCGACUUCUUCCACUGCCUGUCUACUCUACUGGAGGGUGUGAAGAAAUAAUACACAAUAUGAAUCAAGAUGACAUCUUAUGCCACAUCAAAAAUGAUCCCCUGAUAUGUAAAUAUGGCAAUGCACUAUCUGCAAAGCAUGGCCAUGCCAAGUCACAGUUUACAUACAUUGGAUCAAAAAUGAGGGAAUUGGCUAGAUUUGUACUUACUGUAAAUGAGAUGGACUGUGGUGUCCAAUAUCUGCAUGAAGUAUGUGUACCAUCCAAAUUCAAAUUGGCCGUUCAUGCUGCCAGGAAAAUGAGUGGUUUUGAUCCUGCCUCCGACAGGUACAAGACCCAAUCUCUUCCUUUAAAGAUCGGCUAUUCCUUGAAAAGAGCUACUGAAAUAGCUUUUGGGGAGAGUCGUAUGACAGAGGACCGUGAUGCAGAGGCACAAGCCAGAAGGUUCAUUGAGCUUCUUGAAAACGAUUGGAAUAACUGUUUUUCCGGUUUGUCCCUCAGCGCUGUGCCUCAGUGUGAUGAAGUUGAUGUGUCUUCACUAACUGAGGAUUUGAUUAAACUUCAGAAGUUUCUCAAGGUUGCAGAGGACACAGCAAAGAGAGAAUUGCUCGAGAGCCCCACCAACGCUGUCUGGAAAAAGCUCAAUGAAACUCUUCUUGCCGAAAUAGCUCUCUUCAACAGAAAAAGGACAGGAGAGGUUGCGAAAAUGCUGUUGGAAACAUACACAAACAGAAAGAAAUCUCCAGCUAGCGCAGACAUUUUCAAUAGCCUCUCAAGGCUGGAACAGGAGCUUGGUGACGACAAAUUAACCAGGGUGGAAAUAGAAGGUAAAAAUGGUAGAACAAUGCCGGUCCUACUAACGGCGAGGAUGAUCUCAUCUCUUGAGAUCCUAAUUGCAAACCGAGACAAAGUUGGUGUGUCAAAGGACAACCCUUAUGUCUUUGCACGGAGCCCAGAUGCAGCAAGCUACGUCAGAGGGUCUGACUGUUUGAGGAAAUUUGCUCAUGAGUGUGAUGCAAAGAAUCCUGAAAGUCUGAUCCAUGCUACAGUGAGGAAAGAGGUUGCUAUCCAUUGCCAAAUUCUGAACUUAAAUGAAAGUGAAUUGGAUCAGGUGGCAAAAUUAUUGGGACAUGACACCCAGGUCCACAAAGAGUACUACAGACUGUCUGAAAACGCAGCACAUCUAGCAGAAAUCAGCAAAUUGCUGCUUGCAAUGGAUCAGGUUCCAGUGGUAAUUCCAGGACCAUCUGAGGAAAGGAUUGUUUCACCUACAUAUGGGGCAUAUUCUGCAGGGACAUAUUCAGCGGGAACCGAUUCUGCGAGGGCGUAUCCUGCUGGCACAUAUACCACUGGGUCAUCUUAUCCUACAGCGACAUAUUCCGCAAAGUCAUAUACAUUGGGGGCACAGCCUUCAAGGUCAUAUCAUGCUGGGACAUAUCCUGAGAAGUCAUAUCCUUCUGGAUCACAUUCUGCAAGGUCAUAUCAUGCUGGGACAGAUUGUGCAAGGGUGUAUCCUACUGGGAUAAAUCCUGCUAGAUCAUAUUCUGUGACACAUCCUGCAGAGACCUAUCCAGCAGCUUCGUAUGCUGCUGGGACACAUCUUGCAAGUUCAUAUCCUGCAAGUCCUUAUGACCUAUCAUCUCCUGCAAGAUCAUAUACUUCGGGGACAAAUCCUGCAAAAUCAUAUCCUGAAGAGACAUAUCCUAUGGGGACAUAUCGUGCAGGGACACAUCUUGCGGGUUCACAACUUGCAAGGUCAUAUUCUGCCGGAACAUAUCCUGCACAGACACUUCCAGCGCGUACUGUUAUUACGCCAACACUUAAUGCACAGACACUUCCUGUUGGGGCAGUGCCUGCGGUUGCCGUUCCUUUGGGUGCAGUUCCUUUGGGGACAGGUUCUGUGGGGACAGAUAAGGUGGGCACAGUGUGGAAACAGAGGAUGUGGAGUGAUGCAGCUAAGGCUGCGGUGAACCGUCAGAUGGGACACUUUAUCUCAAUGAUGGAGGUUCCAGGUAAACAGGACUGUGAAGUUUGCCUGCACAAUGAACCAGCACUAAGAGACAGGACAUGGAGGGACAUCAAAAACUAUGUGCACAACACAGUAAAAUCUAUAAAACGAAAGAAUGGCCUUACAAGAGUGGACCCCACAAAACAGACAAAGAAAGGAGCAGCAAAGAAACAAAAAGAGGCGAAGCGUGCUAAAGAAUGGGUUGGUGGAACAAUGGCAGUACCUGCAGUGGGUCAAGAAGGCAGACUUGAGGCAGGUCCUGUGGCAACACCAAGGAAACAGAAGAUAUGGAGUAAUGAGGCUCAGGCUGCGGUCAGGCGGCAGCUAGGAGACUUCACUAAACUGAUGAAGAUUCCAGGUAAAAAGGAAUGUGAUGCAUGUCUUGCAGCUGAACCAGCUCUGCAAGGCAGGACAUGGAAAGAUGUAAAAAACUAUGUGCGUAAUACAUUAAUGACAAUGUGCAGGAGGCAUAUUUCAGGCAAACAAAACAUGGACCAUGAAAAACCAAGUCCAAGGACACCGAAACCAGGGGUCCAACAAAAUCCAGGGGUGCAUCAGAAACCAGGGACGCUGUUGGGACUUCCAGAAGAUCCUCCUGUUUAUCUGUAUUUAUGA
ensembl:lncRNA